CACAUCGUGUCGGUGUUCUUGCUCCCCUCCACCUGGCCGCUGCACUGUGGUGACCCCGACGUGAUACUGCACGGACGCUGCGGACGAGAGAAGGUGGAGACAUCCCGGCUGCUAGGAAAGCAGGCUGCUCGAGAAGCAGGAUCCUUGUUGUGGCCACGGCUGACCGGCGCUGGAAGGGACAGGAACAGCCUCGGUGGAUACCGGCUCGGUGGGUGAAACCCUGGCUCUCCAAGGUGGAUGCAGCAGCAGCCGAGAAUAGCGAUACAGGAAGCGCUCCGACAGCUUGACGAAACAUCACGACAGCGAA